GACGUAGGAGACGAGCGUUGUCCGGAGUUACUGGGCGUAAAGGGCGCGCAGGCGGCCGCGCGCGUCGGGCGUGAAAGCCCCCGGCUCAACCGGGGCGGGUCGUCCGAGACGGCGCGGCUGGAGGGCGGCAGAGGCCGGUGGAAUUCCCGGUGUAGUGGUGAAAUGCGUAGAGAUCGGGAGGAACACCCGUGGCGAAGGCGGCCGGCUGGGCCGACCCUGACGCUGAGGCGCGAAGGCCCGGGGAGCGAACGGGAUUAGAUACCCCGGUAGUCCGGGCAGUAAACGAUGUCGACUGGGCGUGGGGGGGCUCGACCCCCUCCGCGCCGGAGCUAACGCGGGAAGUCGACCGCCUGGGGAGUACGGCCGCAAGGCUAAA
rnacentral:rRNA from 1 species